UAGUGAAUUCAUCAAGAGUAUUGUUAAAAGCCCCAGAAAUUCAGUGCCUAGAGAAACUGGUGUCGUGUUUUUGACUAAUGAAAUUGCGUUAAGACCAGAUAAAAAACGUUGUCAGAAAAGGCUGAUUAACAAAGGGAAGAUGGACAUGGAAUAUUUGCAACAAGUCCAGGAAGAACUUAUUUCCUCAAAAGAGAUUGAUGGAAUGGCAUCGUUUGGUGCACAAGAGCUUAACGAUCUGAUGAAGGGCAUGGCUCAAAAGAUCCAACAUGGGAGCAAAAAUAGGAAAGAAGAAAUGAAAAUCCAUAACGAACUUAAGAGACUUAAAGAUAACAAAAGAAACUUACACUGCACCUACUGAACCUAUACCGAGACAGUCUUAUUUUUAUUCGGCAAGUCAAUGUGCAUAUAUUUGGGGGAAAAAAGGCACAUCGACGGGCGAGCUAUAUUCACGAACAGUUAAAGAAUUUUGAGACACUUCAGACAUCUGGAAGGGGGUAUAAAAUAAAAGUCAAGAGCCUUCUAGCAAUGCUGCAUGAUGUGAAAAGAGACAUCUUCUAUUUAGAGAGGAACCUUGAAGAAGUUAGAUUCGAGAGGAGAAUAACAUACAAUUUUAUUAGAAUGCUUCGCGAGCUGCAGGAAUCAUGUUAUGAUGAGUAUCAAUCGCUAUCGCUAAAUAGCAGAGAUCCUUUAGAAGAUGUUCCAAAAGUAAAAUAACAACUAUGCGAUACAAAGGUUGAAGGGUUCAAGGCACGAUGGAACGAGAACGAAGCAUAUAGGGACGAUUUAUACUGAUGACGCUUGAAUGACUAUUUGCGGUCCAAAAAUUUCAAUUCAAAUACUACUGCUUUGCGAAUUCUCAGAUUCAU